CUGACUCUCUUUUCGGACUCAGCCCACUUGCACCCAGGUGAAAUAACAGCCAUGUUGCUCACACGAAGCCUGUUUAGUGGUCUCUUCACACGGACACACAUGAAAUUUGGUGCUGUGACUUGGAUCGGGGUACCUCCCUUGGGAGAUCAAUCCCCUGUCCUCCUGCUCUUUGCUCCGUGAGAAAGAUCCACCUAUGACCUCAUGUCCUCAGACCGACCAGCCCAAGGAACAUCUCACCAAUUUUAAAUCAGCCAUUCCCAGAGCCCCUGGAACUCUGGCCCAAGGCUCUCUGACUGACUCCUUCCCAGAUCUUCUCGGAUUAGCGGCUGAAGACUGACACUGCCCGAUCGCCUCGGAAGCCCCCUAGACCAUCACAGAUGCCGAGCUUCGGGUAACUCUCACAGUGGAAGCAUCUGAAGUUCUCUGGAACUAAAUAUCCAUGACAUGAAGAGAGGGGAAAGUACUGGAAAUAGAAUGAAAUUUUAGGGCCGAGCAUGGUGGUUCGUGCUUGCAAUCCCAGCACUUUGGGAGGCAGAGGCGGGAUGAUUGAGACCAGGAGUGCGAGACCAGCCUGGGCAACAUAACAAGACCCUCAUUUCUACAAAACAACAACAACAACAACAACAACCUGGGCACGGUGACACACACCUACAGUUCCAGCUACUCGAGAGGCUGAGGUGAGAGAAUCGCUUGAGCCCAGGAGUUCGGGGUUGCAGUGAGCUAUGAUCGCAUGACUGCACUCCAGCCUGAGUGACAGAGUGAGACCCUGUCUCAAAAAAAUAAAAAGAAUGGAAUUCUGAAUAAGAACUCAUGGGUUUGUUUGAAUCUGGCUGUAGAAUUAAUUGUGUGACUUUACAUAAGUAAUUUAACCUUUCUUACCCUUCGUUUUCUCAUUUGUGUAAUCAAUGUAGUAAUACUGGCCCUAACUAAGUCGAAGUUAUGUUGAAAAUCAAAUGAAGGGAUAUAUGAGAAAAAUAUAUACAAUCUCUAAAAUAUCUACAAAGAAAAUUUGUAUUAUGGUGUAAAAAGUAGAUAUAUUAAUAAUAAGGAUAUUCUGUGACUGUAUUAUUAAACCCUUUCAGCUAUAUGUUGCCUUCGUUAGAAAAUAAGAUAAAAAAUUAGGGAGGAGAAAACAGGAAACAGAAUAUAAGAAUUGCUCUUAGGCUGAAAAAAUUUACAAUAGGAAAUGAAGAAAAUUUUAAAAAUACUUGAUAGAAAAUAUAAAAAGAGUUAAGAGAGAAUGGAAAGUAGAUAUUGGGAUGAAUCUCAAAAAAACAUAUCUGCAUUAGCGAAUCUGUAGUAAGAUCAAGAAAUUUGGAGUUGUCUACAUGUUAUUUGUAAUCUCUCUUUCUGAAGCCUUUAGAGCUAUAGGAAUUAAAAUAAUGAAAACUUUUGAACUAGAAAGUAUAAGUAUCUCCAAUGUUCUUUACUAUGGGUAAAAGAAUUAUCUAUGUUCAAAGGUUGACAAUAUGAAUAACUGGAAUUGUUUACAUUUGUGAAUUGCUUACAUGUCAAAAUGCCUUUUGCCAAAGCAUUUUGAUCCAUUUAACCUUUACUUCUUUUUCAAUUUCUAUAUAUGUAUUAAACAUUUUAAUAUUGAAAA
ensembl:lncRNA novel transcript, antisense to HTR2C